UGGGGCUAUAGCUCAGUUGGUAGAGUGCAUGUCUUGCAUGCACAAGGCCCUGGGUUCAAUCCCCAAUACCACAA
rnacentral:tRNA from 1 species